UACGAAGGGGGCUAGCGUUGCUCGGAAUCACUGGGCGUAAAGCGCACGUAGGCGGACUCUUAAGUCGGUGGUGAAAUCCCGGAGCUCAACUCCGGAACUGCCCUUGAAACUGCAGUGCUAGAAUCUUGGAGAGGCGAGUGGAAUUCCGAGUGUAGAGGUGAAAUUCGUAGAUAUUCGGAAGAACACCAGUGGCGAAGGCGACUCGCUGGACAAGUAUUGACGCUGAGGUGCGAAAGCGUGGGGAGCAAACAGG
rnacentral:rRNA from 1 species